CAUAGUGCGCCUUGAGCUGGUGCCCAGCCUCAGGCCGGGUGAAAAGGAAAUCUGGUGCAAGCCCAGAACUGCCCCGCAGCGGUGAACGGGAAUAAAUCCCCCCACAUGUGACACUGGCGGAAGCCGGGAAGUCGUGGGGGCGCGCAAGGCGGCGGAUGCCCGCAACGCCCGUGAGUCCGAAGACCUGCCAGCUCCCGCCCGCGCGC
rnacentral:ncRNA from 2 species